AUCAUCAUGUCUAAGGAUUAAUCCCUGGUUGUUUCCCAGCCUCUAAAAGAACAUAGCCUAGCAGUACUGUGCAGUACGUCAGUCAGAGCUGCGUGUUGGAAGUAAGUCAGCAAUAUAUGCAAACAUUGGAAGGUGGGUGAGGCAAGGUGCGGGGGUUUUUUGGUGUUGUUUUUGUUAUUUUGUUUUUCUGUAGCAAAGGCCUGUGGAAAAUCUUCCAAAAGUGGCAAUCCUGGGGAUCUGCGCGCAGGCAGAUCAGGAAGAGGAGACCCAAGACUGACCCCAUUGUGGAGGUCCUGGACCCACUCCUGGGAGGAAAGAGGCAAGGGUCCCCUACCCAGUGACUUCAAAUGAGGAAACUGAGGCCUAGACACGGGCAGGUAGCUGCUCAGAGUCACAGACAUCAGUAAGGGGCAGGAGCCACGGAGACCAGGAGUAGAAGACCUCACGGCUUCAGAGAAUCCCCACCCCCAGCCAAACCUGAACCCCCAACAGCAUCUCAGCUAGGUGCCAGUGCCCAGCCCCCACUCUGUCAGAACAAAGAGCUUAUAAACCAAUCCCCACACUACUGAUGUGAAUCCAUGUCCUCUCAGGGAGAAGCCCCAGAAACGGAGUGCUAGAUGGACCCUUAGAGUCCCCUCCCACCUCUGGCUGGGCCUGAGCCCUGAGUCUCAGCCAUCCAUUCACUAAGAAGGACAGGACUACUCCCUAACCAGGGACCACAUUGCCUUUUAAGGAUGAGUGUGGAGUGGACAUUACAUUUCAGCAUCAAAGUGAGUUUCGAUAAAUAAGUAUGUGGUAAGACCCUUUAAAAAAAAACGCAUGUACAAAUACUUCUCUGUGGAUAAAGAACAUUUUGAAAAGCAAUCACUCCUUCAGUAAAUGUUUACUGAGCCCCUACCCUAUGCCAGACACUGUGCUAAAUGCUGAAUAUGGGAUAAUGGACAAAAGAUACAGUCUCAACCUUCAUAGCAGUAACAUUGGAUUGAAAACAAACACCUGAGAUCUACCUAUGAACUACGCAAAUACCUUUCACACAGUGAAGUUAAUACAAUGUAAUAAAAUGAACAUUAGUAUUUGAGACUAGCUGUACAUAUAUACUUGUGUUUAUAAAAUAGGAUAUUCUUUAUAACUAAGUUCUAUGUUAUUUAUAAUAUUGGUCAUUUCAAUGACAUUUUAGUAAAUUCCCUGACAAUUAGGCUACUUCUUCGCUACAUAAAAUAGAAUACUGGAACGGGUAUGUUUAAUUAAGGAUAUUCUCUUAAAAUGUGUGAUAAGCACCAUCUGUCUGAGGGUUACAUGAAUGAAAUGUAACAAUUUUGCUAAUAACCAAUAAAUAGCAAUUCCUUACAGGGCAUUACAAAGUUCAA